rnacentral:rRNA from 1 species
CCUACGGGAGGCAGCAGUCGAGAAUCAUUCACAAUGGGGGAAACCCUGAUGGUGCGCCGCCGCGUGGGGGAAUGAAGGUCUUCGGAUUGUAAACCCCUGUCAUGUGGGAGCAAAUUAAAAAGAUAGUACCACAAGAGGAAGAGACGGCUAACUCUGUGCCAGCAGCCGCGGUAAUACAGAGGUCUCAAGCGUUGUUCGGAAUCACUGGGCGUAAAGCGUGCGUAGGCUGUUUCGUAAGUCGUGUGUGAAAGGCGCGGGCUCAACCCGCGGACGGCACAUGAUACUGCGAGACUAGAGUAAGGGAGGGGGAACCGGAAUUCUCGGUGUAGCAGUGAAAUGCGUAGAUAUCGAGAGGAACACUCGUGGCGAAGGCGGGUUCCUGGACAUUAACUGACGCUGAGGCACGAAGGCCAGGGGAGCGAAAGGGAUUAGAUACCCCAGUAGUC